rnacentral:rRNA from 1 species
GACGAACGCUGGCGGCGUGCCUAAUACAUGCAAGUGGGACGCAAGGAAACACACUGUGCUUGCACACCGUGUUUUCUUGAGUCGCGAACGGGUGAGUAACGCGUAGGUAACCUGCCUAUUAGCGGGGGAUAACUAUUGGAAACGAUAGCUAAUACCGCAUAAUAUUAAUUAUUGCAUGAUAAUUGAUUGAAAGAUGCAAGCGCAUCACUAGUAGAUGGACCUGCGUUGUAUUAGCUAGUUGGUAAGGUAAGAGCUUACCAAGGCGACGAUACAUAGCCGACCUGAGAGGGUGAUCGGCCACACUGGGACUGAGACACGGCCCAGACUCCUAAGGGAGGCAGCAGUAGGGAAUCUUCGGCAAUGGACGAAAGUCUGACCGAGCAACGCCGCGUGAGUGAAGAAGGUUUUCGGAUCGUAAAGCUCUGUUGUAAGUCAAGAACGUGUGUGAGAGUGGAAAGUUCACACAGUGACGGUAGCUUACCAGAAAGGGACGGCUAACUACGUG